rnacentral:lncRNA from 1 species
UGCUGGCACAGCUUUUUAAAUGCUCAUGUUAGAAUCUCCAGUGGGAAGUUUUCAUUUUAAGUAAUUUAAAUGGCAAUCUAGAAUUGUCAUUUCAACAAGGUCUUUUGAGUUUUUUUAACCCCUUAAAAUAAGUUCCAAUCUGUGUGCAAACUGCUGCUAUAUUAUAGCAGAAACCAUAACUGGAAUACUGGAGGCAAAUGGCUUCUUGUUUAUUUUGACAAUAAUGCCAGCUUUCCUCCUUUUAAGAUGACACAUAUUUAAACACUUAGAAGAAUUUAAAAUUUACCCAAAAGCUAGUAAUAAAAGAAAGCAGGUUGGAACAGAUAUAUAGUUUAGCAUUUAUAACAGAUUUAAUACAACUCUGUAAAAAAAUUAAUGUUUUGCAAUGGAAAAAAUAAUAGAUACUGAAAAUGGUUGUUGUUGGAUAGUUGUUAGUCAUUUGUGAUCUUGCUUAUAUAUUUCUUAGUUCAGCAUAAGGUAUUUUCAUUCUCUGUGUAUUUUUGUCUAUUUCUUGACAUUGAACGUAAAGCUUUAAUCAUGCUCUUUUAUAUAUAGGUCAUUCUUCUGGUUAAACUAGGUGUGAAGAUGAAGUUUUCAGUGUUUCUUAAGUUGGUAGCUGAGGGUAUCAAGAAUCAGUAUUUGCAGGAAUACAAAGGAAGAGGAUAGUCCCGGCUUACCAAGAGGUAGAAUGCUGUACAUUUAUGUUUUGGUUUUUGGUAAGCUUAAGCCUACCAUCAUAAGCUAACUCUUAGAAAACUUAAAAUCACUUUAUAGCUCAAGACUCUGAUUUCUCUCACAAUAUUCAUUUCCUUUCUCUGUAGCUAUUGAUGGCACUACCUUUUGAAUAUAGGGUCUGCUCAAAAGCAGCUCUCAAUUGAAAAAUGUGUUUCAUGAAUGCAGUCUCAGCAGUUAGACAUAAUUGCUUCUACCAGUGUCGGUGAUAAGGAUGUUUUGGUGUCAACUGCUAGGUAAAAUCAGUUUGUCAUAAUAAGACUUGCUAAUUCCUACAAGCCUAUUACAACAAACUGGGAAUUUUAUAAUGAAAAACUAUCUGUUCUGAAUAACAUUGGUCAAAUGAUUCACUACUACUGCUGUGCUCUGCUCUGUCAAGUCUCUAAUAAGAACUUUUAAACUUUGUGCCUACUGAAAAGCAGCUUCUAGAGUUUGCAGGGAGGACAAGAACUAGAAAGUUAAAUUGUAAUUUUGCCAGGAAGACUCUUCCAUGUGUUCGGGGAUUUUUUAAAUAGCUUUAUAUAUCCAACCUUGAGAGGUUUUUGUGGAAUACUCCUCUGGACAAUAACUCUUUACUCCUAGCCAUUAUUAGAUUGGAAUUUUGUAGCAAAAUGCUAUUUAAAAUCUACUGUGAAUAUUUUUCUACUUAGCUUUCUGACUACUGAUUUUUUUUUUUUUUACUGUUCUUUCAAGUUGGCUUCAAUUUCACUCAACUUCUAAAUUAUCUGUAGUUAUUUUUGGUAGAAUCUAUUUGAAAUAGUAAAUUUGUUCAAAGUAUAAGCCAACAUUUUAAAAAGGUUAUAGCAUUCUUGCAAGAUUAAAUAGGGAUAAUUUUGUUAUCAUUUUGGUGGUCACUAUCCUCCACUCAGAGUCACUGAAGAAUUUGUUCAAUUGGGCUAAAAAGAUAAAAACAAAUGAACCCUGCUGUAGGCAUUUAAAAUGUUAUAGUGUGUGCAUUUUGAGGAAUUAAAUGUAAAUUCAAUAGCACUGGCUUCUUUACCUCUGUUAGUCAUAUGAAACCUUGUUCAUUUCCCCAAUUACUGUACAUUUUCAUAUUUGUACAAUCUUCCUUAUCAUAAGUUCUGCUUUUCAUUAACUGUUACCUGAUAUUAGUUCAUAGAGUUUAUCACAAAAUAAAACAUAUUCAUUC